rnacentral:rRNA from 1 species
AGCAACAAAUGCCCUGCUUCCAGGAAAAGCCUCUAAGCAUCAGGUAACAUCAAAUCGUACCCCAAACCGACACAGGUGGUCAGGUAGAGAAUACCAAGGCGCUUGAGAGAACUCGGGUGAAGGAACUAGGCAAAAUGGUGCCGUAACUUCGGGAGAAGGCACGCUGACACGUAGGUGAAGUGAUUUACUCAUGGAGCUGAAGUCAGUCGAAGAUACCAGCUGGCUGCAACUGUUUAUUAAAAACACAGCACUGUGCAAACACGAAAGUGGACGUAUACGGUGUGACGCCUGCCCGGUGCCGGAAGGUUAAUUGAUGGGGUCAGCGCAAGCGAAGCUCCUGAUCGAAGCCCCGGUAAACGGCGGCCGUAACUAUAACGGUCCUAAGGUAGCGAAAUUCCUUGUCGGGUAAGUUCCGACCUGCACGAAUGGCGUAAUGAUGGCCAGGCUGUCUCCACCCGAGACUCAGUGAAAUUGAACUCGCUGUGAAGAUGCAGUGUACCCGCGGCAAGACGGAAAGACCCCGUGAACCUUUACUAUAGCUUGACACUGAACAUUGAGCCUUGAUGUGUAGGAUAGGUGGGAGGCUUUGAAGUGUGGACGCCAGUCUGCAUGGAGCCGACCUUGAAAUACCACCCUUUAAUGUUUGAUGUUCUAACGUGGACCCGUAAUCCGGGUUGCGGACAGUGUCUGGUGGGUAGUUUGACUGGGGCGGUCUCCUCCUAAAGAGUAACGGAGGAGCACGAAGGUUGGCUAAUCCUGGUCGGACAUCAGGAGGUUAGUGCAAUGGCAUAAGCCAGCUUGACUGCGAGCGUGACGGCGCGAGCAGGUGCGAAAGCAGGUCAUAGUGAUCCGGUGGUUCUGAAUGGAAGGGCCAUCGCUCAACGGAUAAAAGGUACUCCGGGGAUAACAGGCUGAUACCGCCCAAGAGUUCAUAUCGACGGCGGUGUUUGGCACCUCGAUGUCGGCUCAUCACAUCCUGGGGCUGAAGUAGGUCCCAAGGGUAUGGCUGUUCGCCAUUUAAAGUGGUACGCGAGCUGGGUUUAGAACGUCGUGAGACAGUUCGGUCCCUAUCUGCCGUGGGCGCUGGAGAACUGAGGGGGGCUGCUCCUAGUACGAGAGGACCGGAGUGGACGCAUCACUGGUGUUCGGGUUGUCAUGCCAAUGGCACUGCCCGGUAGCUAAAUGCGGAAGAGAUAAGUGCUGAAAGCAUCUAAGCACGAAACUUGCCCCGAGAUGAGUUCUCCCUGAGACUUAAAGUCUCCUGAAGGAACGUUGAAGACGACGACGUUGAUAGGCCGGGUGUGUAAGCGCAGCGAUGCGUUGAGCUAACCGGUACU